AAUAAAAAAUGCUCCAGCAGUACCGACAGCAUGUAUGUAACAGGCGUUACCCUGAUUUGUACCAGUAUUAUCACGCUCCUGUUAACAGUUGGACUUGGAAUAUUCAUCAGUCGAAAUGGUAGACUGCCUUGUAUCAAAGGUCAGCAUCUGAAACAAAGGGAAUUUCAGAACGUGCAACUUUCAGAACGAGCUGUGACACCCAAUGAAGAGGAAGACGAACGGUAAUCUUGUUUGAACAUUCAACACUUACUCAAAACAACAUUUCAGCGUUAUGGUUUGGUUUUAUUUUAUUCAAAGUCCAAUUAACAGCUCACUGAAAAACAAUGCCGAAUGCACCCAGCAUAGCAUUCCGUCCGGUCACAUUGUA